GACGAACGCUGGCGGCGUGCUUAACACAUGCAAGUCGAACGGAAAGGCCUCUUUCGGGGGGUACUCGAGUGGCGAACGGGUGAGUAACACGUGAGUAACCUGCCCUUGACUUUGGGAUAACUUCAGGAAACUGGGGCUAAUACCGGACAGGAGCUCCUGCUGCAUGGGGGGGGUUGGAAAGUUUCGGCGGUUGGGGAUGGACUCGCGGCUUAUCAGCUUGUUGGUGGGGGAGUGGCUUACCCAGGCUUUGACGGGUAGCCGGCCUGAGUGGGUGACCGGCCACAGUGGGACUGGGAUUCGGCCCAGGCUCCUACUGGAGGCAGCAGCGGCGGAGAUUGUUCUAUGGGUGGGAGCCUGAUGCAGCAACGCCGUGUGCGGGAUGACGGUCUUCGGGUUGGAAUCCGCUUUCGCUCAUGACGAAGCUUUGUGUGACGGUAGUGGGUAAAGAAGCACCGGCUAACUACGUG
rnacentral:rRNA from 1 species